rnacentral:lncRNA from 1 species
AAAAGGGAAGAAGCGACGCCGUUUUGGAGUUGGAUCUCAGCAGCUUCAGCAGCAGCAACAGAAGGGAGAAUAAGGUGAGUAGUGAGCAAAAGAUUCCUGUGAAUCAAGAAACCAGUGCCACUAGCACCUAUUUGGGCCAUAGAAGGACCUUUAGUAGAGAAAAUAGAAGCUUUCGUUCUCUAAGACUUGCCACCUCCAUUACAGAAACACCAUUGGGCCAUAGCAGGACCUUUAGUAGAAAAAAUAGAAGCUUUCAUUCUCUCAGACUUACCACCUCCAUUACAGAAACACCAUGAAUCUACCAAAAACCCCAUUUUUGGUUUUUGGGAUAAUUUUCGUUUCAACAAUAAUGGGGUAAUUUUAGAUCCGGAAUUAAAAGCUAAAGUUGCAUUUUUCUUUUAGCAAGCAAUGUGUGUUCUUCUGUCACUACAGUCUACGUUUUUCUGCUGUAUCAUUGAUUGAAAAAAUUACUACAUAGAAGAGUUUUGGUUAUUUGUUUGCAGAAAAAUGGUGGGACAAGAAGCUUAAAAUGGGACCUUAUUGGUUAUCCUAAAUACAGGAGAACAUGUAAUGUCAUGUCUGGGAAAGGAAGAAGAGGAGACUAGAAUGAAACAGGGCUAGUUUUCGGGGUCUUUUUCUUUCUUUUUUAUUAUUAAGGAGGGGUUUUGGAAUAUUUAUCCACAAAAAAAUUAUAAAUAAAUAUUUGAAGCUCCAUUCCAUAAAAAAAAUUAACUUAUAAAAUACUGUACAACAUUUUGAUUCCAAAUUAUCAGAUAAUCACUUCAUAUAGUAUUAAAAUUUAUAACUACUCCUUUAGGAAAUUAAAAACAGCUUUCCUUAAAUUGUAGUUAUCUUUUAGGAAAUUUUUUUGGCUACUAACUUAAUUUUAUUAAUCACUAAAGAAAUAUUUACAAUUCCAUAGCUAAGCUCACACAGCUAGCUACCUCAUUAAGUGAGUAGAGGAGUCAUUCCCAACUAAGAGCCCGUUUAGAUUUACUAUAAAUAAGUGAUAAGCUUGAAGUGUUAAAAAGGAUUUUUAAGUACUUAACCUGAUUAUUCAAAUAAGUAUUUACGUAUUUGGAUAAACGUACUGAAACUGAUAAAAAGCAAUUAAUAUAUUUGGUAGAAAAAUGUUAAUAAGUUGUUCUUUUAUUAAAAUGACUAAGAUAUCCUUAAAAACUUUAUAAAAGAUUAUAAAUUAAAAAUUUUCUUUAUAAAGAAAAAGAUGAAAAACGAAUAUGAAAUGAAUAGAAAGUUAGAAAAUUUAUUUUGGAAAAAAUAUUUUAUGAAUUAAAAAAUAUUAUAAGGAUAAACUAGUAAAAAUUUUGGUCAAACUAAAAAAACUUAUACGCUAAAAAAUUAUAAAAUUGGAAAUUACCAACUUAUGACUUAUGGUUGAUUUUAACUUAUAAACGUCUGAUUUAUAAAUACUGUAGAUAUCUACCAAACGCAUUAAAUAAGUCAAAAAAUAUUAUAAAUCAAUUUGACCAACUUAUAAGCUCAGUCAAAGAUCCUCGAAGUUCUUACAAGUAUCUUCGACUAAAGAAAUGACAAAAAGACGAAACAGCCUAUUCAAACUGGAUACUAUAUGCAGCCUAUUUUUUGGAUUUUUAACUAUAUAACAAAUUGAAAUUGUUCAAAAAGUUUCUACAUAUGUGCUAUUAUGUAUAUAGAUCCUGCUAUUCUUUUACCGACGAACAAAGUAUGCUUAAUCUCUCAUUUUUUAUAGACGAACAAUUAAAUUUUUGAUUUCUCCUCUAUUUGAGAUUUGAAACUUUUUAAUAAUUACUUUGUAGGUAUAAUAUCCUUACAACUGACAAAAUUUCAGUACGGAAUAAUGAAUGAUAGUCGUAGGGUCUUAAAUACCUUCCUUCGCUUCAAGCCGGUUCAAGAAAAAGCCCAGAGAGAAGCUGAAACUCCUUACGUUACUUUUUUCCCUUGAAGACGGUCAAUUUUGCUCUCCUGCUCUUCCCCAGCUCUUAUUCCUUAGCUGGCUUCGUUCAGCUGACCUUU